GGAAAGUCGGCGCGGGCGAAUGCCCUGCCAAUCCGGUCAGGGCCGAAAGGCAGCAGCCGUACCAGGAUUCAUCGGGUCGUGUCCGGCUUUCCACC
rnacentral:SRP_RNA from 1 species